AGGUACCCCUUUGCUAUAUGCAACAUUUGGAGUCUGUUUUGCAAUUAUCGCUGGGUUGUGCAUAUUAACUUACCGAAACUAUAAAAAGCAAUUUAGAUAUGAAAGGCAACUGCAUAUGAUACAAAUGGUUGGUUCUUCCAACAAUGAAUACAUCUACAUAGAUUUCAGUGAGUUGGAGUAUGAUGUCCAGUGGGAGUUUCCCCGAGAAAAUCUGAAAUUUGGGCAAGUACUGGGCUCUGGUGCCUUUGGAAAAGUCGUGAAUGCUACUGCAUAUGGAAUUAGUGAAGCUGGAGCCUCCAUCCAAGUUGCCGUCAAAAUGC